GACGAACGCUGGCGGCGUGCUUAACACAUGCAAGUCGAACGGAAAGGCCCUGCUUUUGUGGGGUGGUCGAGUGGCGAACGGGUGAGUAACACGUGAGCAACCUGCCCUAGACUUUGGGAUAACUUCAGGAAACUGGGGCUAAUACCGGAUAGGAGAUCCUGCUGCAUGGUGGGGGUUGGAAAGUUUCGGCGGUUGGGGAUGGGCUCGCGGCUUAUCAGCUUGUUGGUGGGGUAGUGGCUUACCAAGGCGUCGACGGGUAGCCGGCCUGAGAGGGUGACCGGCCACACUGGGACUGAGACACGGCCCAGACUCCUACGGGAGGCAGCAGUGGGGAAUAUUGCACAAUGGGCGGAAGCCUGAUGCAGCGACGCCGCGUGAGGGAUGACGGCCUUCGGGUUGUAAACCGCUUUCAGCAGUGAAGAAGCGAAAGUGACGGUACUUGCUGAAGAAGCACCGGCUAACUACGUG
rnacentral:rRNA from 1 species